GCGGCGGGAGCCCCGGGGGCCCCCUUCCUCGCGGUGGGCCAGGCUCGGACCCCCGACCCGGGGCCUCAGCCGCCGAGCGCGAGGCUCCCCACCGGAAGCCCGAGGCCGAAUUCCACGCUAUUGUCCUUCUUUGCCUGGGGUCGCGUGCUCCCUGCGGCUGCCCUCGAGAGCCCGCAGUCUCCGUGGCCUUGGGCAAGGCAGUCGGCCUAGUCCGCCAGGCCGAGUUUGUGGAAAAACCUAGAUACAUUUCCUUUUCUCUUGAGUAAAUACCUUGGAGAAGAAUGGCUGGAACACAUCGUAGGUAGAGUGACAUCACAGAAGCUACAGGAGGAGAAUGUUUCCAGGGAGAGAGAUGCUGCUGAAGAAUCAAAAAUGUCUCAUGAGCACAAGACAGAAAGAAUAUUCAAAAGAAACUUCAAGAAUCUUAGCUUCUGAAGGACAUAUUUUUAGUGCAUAUACUGACUCUCACAUUUACCGAACCCCAGCUGCAGCAUUUGUCUCAGAGAACUGCUCUGCUCCUCCCAUUUAUCCCAUUAUUACUUUCAGUUGUGAGAUGAAAAUGUUC